CGCGGUAAUACGGAGGAUCCGAGCGUUAUCCGGAUUUAUUGGGCGUAAAGAGCUCGUAGGCGGUUCGGUAAGUCGGAUGUGAAAUCUCCAUGCUCAACAUGGAGGGGCCAUUCGAUACUACCGUGACUCGAGUCCGGUAGGGGAGUGUGGAAUUCCCGGUGUAGCGGUGAAAUGCGCAGAGAUCGGGAGGAACACCCGUAGCGAAGGCGGCACUCUGGGCCGGUACUGACGCUGAGGAGCGAAAGCGUGGGGAGCAAACAGG
rnacentral:rRNA from 1 species